GCAACUCGAGUGCAUGAAGCUGGAAUCGCUAGUAAUCGCGAAUCAGAAUGUCGCGGUGAAUACGUUCCCGGGUCUUGUACACACCGCCCGUCACACCAUGGGAGCCGACAACGCCCGAAGUCAGUGACCUAACCGAGAGGGAGGAGCUGCCGAAGGCGGGGUUGGUAACUGGGGUGAAGUCGUAACAAGGUACC
rnacentral:rRNA from 1 species